GACGAACGCUGGCGGCGUGCUUAACACAUGCAAGUCGAACGGAAAGGCCCUGCUUGCAGGGUACUCGAGUGGCGAACGGGUGAGUAACACGUGGGUGAUCUGCCCUGCACUUCGGGAUAAGCCUGGGAAACUGGGUCUAAUACCGGAUAGGAGCCAUUUUUAGUGUGAUGGUUGGAAAGUUUUUUCGGUGUAGGAUGAGCUCGCGGCCUAUCAGCUUGUUGGUGGGGUAAUGGCCUACCAAGGCGGCGACGGGUAGCCGGCCUGAGAGGGUGGACGGCCACAUUGGGACUGAGAUACGGCCCAGACUCCUACGGGAGGCAGCAGUGGGGAAGAUUGCACAAGGGGCGCAAGCCUGAUGCAGCGACGCCGCGUGGGGGAUGACGGCCUUCGGGUUGUAAACUCCUUUCGCUAGGGACGAAGCUUUUUGUGACGGUACCUAGAUAAGAAGCACCGGCUAACUACGUG
rnacentral:rRNA from 1 species